rnacentral:lncRNA from 1 species
GAAAUCCAAGUUGAAGAAACUUAGAAACAACAACUGAAAUUAGAUAUAUACUGGUCAUAUUAAUAUUAUAUAUAAAACAUUUCGUUUUACUUAUCAAUAGACAAAUAGCUCAUGUGGUGGGUGAUUACCCUUACAUCAUCAAAAGCAUGGGUUUGAAUCUUGUUUGUGGCAAAAUUUUAAUUUUUGCCUUACUUUAAUUGUUUAACACA